rnacentral:lncRNA from 1 species
GUGGGCAGCGUGUGAGGGCCCGGAUGCCCCUCCCCGGCACCUUCUCCUCCCUGACCCCGGCAGAUUCAGCCCAGCCCUUCACUCUGGGUACGCGCAGCCGGGUCUCAGGACGGCAGGCCCAGGAACGGGAGUGGGGGGUCAGGCCUGGCAUUCUGUGGGUGCCCAACAGAUGCCAGCUUUGCGUGCCGGAGAGAAGGGCAGGGUUUGAUCGGCUCCUCGAGAGGCCCCAGGGAGGACCCGGCCCCGCGGGCCCCUCAUCCUGGGGCCAGGACCCAGACCGGGACAAGGGCCGUUUCCUCGCUCCUGCCCUUCCCCCUCCCCCGUGAUGGGGGUGGGGCUCUUCCUGGGGCAGAUCUCUCGGGGUGGGGGUGGGGGGCAGGGAGCCCGGCCUGGUCCGUCAGAGCCUCCCUCCCGGAGUCCAAGGCGCCCCCUCCCCCAGUGUUUACAGAGGACUCGCCCCGCCUCUUCCCUGUCCCCGCAGCCCCAGUGUCCAAGGCCUCCCCUAAGGGUGGGCAGCGCGCCCCCCCUCGGGCUCCCAGGCGGCCCCGCGGCGGGUUACGGCCACCGAGCUCCCCUCCCCCCGCCCGGGCCCCAGAGCCCUGGGGGGAGGGGCGGCCGCCUAAAAUAACCCGGCCCCGCGCGGCGGGAGGGGGGGCGGGGCGCUUGUUGUUGUUGUCACGUCGCAGUGGCCGCGGGGGGCGGGGGGAGGAGAACGCGUGACCGACCCCGCCCCCCACGCGUCCGCCCCGCCCCGCUCGGCCAAUCCGGGGCCCCGCCGCCCCCGGGCCCAGAGGAACCGGGGCGGGCGGCGUUGGCGGCCCUGGGGAGAGAGACGGAGCGCGGCGGGCCCGGCCAGUCAGUGUCGGGGUCACGGUCGGCGGCGGUACCUGCGCCGGCUGCGGCCCGUCCCCUCCCGCCUCACCGCGGCCCAGGAGCAGCGGCACAAGCGGCACAAGCGGCCGCCGCGACCCCCGUGAGCCCCGCAGCCGCCCCCGGCCCCCCCGGCCAGGCCGCGUUCUCCGCCGGCUCCCGCCGAACCCUAGCCCGGGCCCAUGGCGCAGAGCGGGCAGCCCCCGCCCGAGGAGAACCUGCAGGGUGAGUGCCAGGCUGGGCCCCGAGGCCUCCCCCCCAUCUCCGGGAUCUCUGGGCUCUCCGAGAGGGGCAGCGCGCGCCGGUGCCUGGAACCCGGGCCCCGGCCCCCAAUCCCUGGCCCCCCAUCCCUGGGCCCCUCCCCCCAUCUCCGGGAGGGGCAGCGCGCGCCGGUGCCUGGAACCCGGGUUCCCCGCCCCCCCCCAGCCCCUCCCCCAUCCCCGGGCUCUCCCGGGGGUCAGCGCGCGCCUGUGCCCGGAACCCGGGGCCCCGAGCCCUCCCCCCCAUCCCCGGGCUCUCCGGGAGGGGCAGCGCGCGCCGGUGCCUGGGACACCCGGAGGUCUGUGGGCGAGGGGGAGGGGCGUGGAGUUCGGGCCCGGGAGCGCCCAGGGGCCCGGGCUCCAGGAGUCGCUGGGCGGAUGUCCGCUCGCCCCCCCCCCCCAGGCUGAGGUUGCGAUCUCGCGCUGGGAAAGGCCGCGCUCGAGCCCGGGGCUGUGCAGAGAAUGGGGGGCUCGGGGCCGGGACCCCGAGUCGGCUCCUCCCCCUGCCCCCCCAAGCGCCGGGUCUGCCCGCCGAGGCCAGCCCCCGCCCCUGGUCCAGGACGGGCCGGGAGGCUUCCUUAUCUGCCCACUUCAGACUGAGGAUCAUUCCCGGGGCCCGAGGGAGCCCCACCCUCCCGAGCCGAAGGUUCUUGGGUGGAGCUGCACUUCAGCAGUAAUGGCAAUGGGCACAGUGCUGUGCCAGCCUCCAUCUCGGCCUACAAUGGCGACAUGGAGAAGAUUCUUCUGGAUGCACAGCAUGAAUCUGGAAGGAGCAGCUCCAAGAGUUCUCACUGUGACAGCCCACCUCGUUCCCAGACGCCCCAGGACAUUAACAGAACUUCCGAAGCAGACGCUCACAGCAUUGGAGAGAAGAACAGCUCCCAGUCGGAAGAAGAUUACCUGGAAAGAAGGAAAGAAGUGGAGAGCAUCCUGAAGAAAAACUCCGACUGGAUCUGGGACUGGUCCAGCAGGCCUGAAAACAUCCCCCCAAAGGAGUUUCUUUUUAAGCACCCAAAGCGCUCAGCCACUCUCAGCAUGAGGAACACGAGUGUCAUGAAGAAGGGGGGCAUCUUCUCAGCGGAGUUCCUGAAGGUCUUCCUCCCGUCCCUGCUGCUCUCUCACUUCCUCGCCAUUGGCUUGGGGAUCUACAUCGGAAGGCGGCUCACCACCUCCACCAGCACCUUCUAGGCAGCAGGGCCGGAGCGCGGCGGGCGCCGUCUCUGAGCAUGCAGCAGGGGACCCGGAGGAGGUCCCUCCGUUCGGGAUGGCUCCCGCGGCUUGUGUUCAUUUGUUGUGUAAAUGUCGUGUUCCUAGUUCAGUAGAAAGGGAGGAUAGUCCGUGUAUUCAUUCCCCCAGCACAGGGAGCAGCUCAGACGGAUCCGGCCCCUCUCGGGGGUCGCCCUCGUUCUCGGGUGCAAGCCCUCCCGUCCCGAUGCCGAGACCUGGACUCCUACGAGCUCCCCGAGCUCCCCACUUCCCCAUAGCAGUCGCUGCUCCUGUGAACAAGUGAAUCAUGUCAUUAUUAAAAAGCAUUGUGUUUAGGGGCGCUGUAGUCACAUGGGGUCCCAGAAUGCCUUCCGUGCCCAUUUGCCCUGCCUGUGGUCCCAGAACGCCCCUCCAUGCCCGUUUGCCCUGCCUGGGGUCCCAGAAUGCUCCUCUGUACCCGUUUGCCCUGCCUAUGGUCCCAGAACGCCCUGUGCCCAUUUACCCUGGCUGUAGCAGCCACUUGGCAAAGACUCCCUGCCCUUCUUCUGGGCACAGUGGGGAGUGAGGGAGGAAGCCUGCGAGGUGGGCCGCUUGGCUUGGCACAGUGUCCAGCAGCAACGGAUGUCUCCUCUGGCCCCAAAGCCGACUUGUUUCCCGCAUGGGGCCCGGCGUGGCUGGCAGCGUAGCAGAUGGUCCUCCCUGCUGGCUCAGCUCCCUGCCCUGUGCUCCCCGCCAGGCCCACACUGUGCCCUGAAGCCCCUGAAACCGGAAUGGGAACAAACGCCUCUAGGUUGCCAAACCCUUCCAUGGCGCCCACGUUGGGGGCCGGUUCACCCGAGUCAUGCGCCCCCUGAGCGCCACAUCCUCCCUUGUUCCCUGGGGAAAAUCUUUUGUGAAAGGAGGUCACGUCUGUGCCAGGCUGGACACACUCUGGUUUCUCUUCGUCUCUGACGUCCCUCCCGCUCAUCUGGGCGAAAUAAAUGCGACCUUUUCAUUUGACAAGGAAACUGCUCCUUCUCUGCCCUCAGCCGCCCUCCCCAGGCAGGAACGGGCCCCACGCCGGCUACCCUCGUCUGGUCAGGCCGUUAGGCCCCUCCCCCAGCCCCUCUGAGGUGGGGAGUGCAGGCCCCCAGAAGGAGGUCCCUCUCGGCCCCCUGCCCAUCAUUAAGUUCGGUGCCCAGUAAUGGCCAAGUGCCCAAGUACGUAAAAAACGCCGGAUCUUCGCCGUCUCUCCCCUUUAGCGCUGAGGAGUUCCCUCGUGCCCAGAAGCCCCUUUCCUGUAACAGAAUAGAAAGCCUGUCCCCUAUGGGGACGCCUCAGCCCGGGGGCUCUGCAGGGAGGGCGGCUGUGGGCAGGAGACCUCCCGGCUCUGACGGGCCUCACUGCUGACUUCGCUCCCUUGGCCUAGAGCCUGCCCUUAGUCAGCCUGUCGGUCCACCCAGAUUCUCCUCCAGUCUUGGCCAUUUGGGGCAACUGAGGCCCCAAGGUAAGUGAGACCGUCAGGAUCCGUGAUGUUCACCCAGGGCAGACAGCCUGAUCCCCAAAAUGUCCGUGAUGCUCCGAGCGACACUGCCCGACUCCCCACUGAUGAGAAACUGCUUUUGAGUGGAUGCAAAGGACCUACUGUGUGCUGGGCACACAAGCUGGGGAGCAGGGCCUGGGGCUCCAGGUGGUGACAGGGAGUUGGCAAAGCCCACUGGAGGGUCACAGCAGGGCAAGCACGGGGUGCCCAGCUUGGCUGGUGGAAAUGCCCUGGUCAUGUCAUUGUCAUGUCCUUAAAUGGCCUAAAAGGGGCCUGGACACGAGCGGUGGCCAAAGGGGACCCAGACACCAGCUGUGCCCCAAAGGGUCUGUGGGCUGGUCAUGCUAAGGAGCACUUGGGGUGGUCCCUUCAUGUCCUCAGCCCCCCUUUCUCAGGAUCUCCACCUCAACCCCACACAGAGGACAAGCUGGGCAGCCUCCCAGUGAUUGGCAUGAGGCGGUCGGGAAGAGCUGGGCUGAACACAAAGCCAUGGACAGGGAGCCUUUCAGCCUCUCUGGCUGUGUCCCCCCCUCCUCACUUUGUACAAAACCCAACAUGGCGGCAUCCAGCGUUCAUAAAAGCCCAACAGCGGAGGAGCUUUGGGUUGGGCUGUAAUGUCUGAAGACCCGGAUGUGGCCCCCGUGUCCCGCCCUGCCCCUCCCUUCCCCAGGGAUGCUCCAGAAAGUGAGGCCAUUGAAUGGGAUGUUCCGGACUGUGGGGUAGAGGUCGGGCUCACCCAGCCGUGGGGGAGAGGAAAGGGGCGGAACUUGCAGCGUUCCCCCUGCAUCGCCCAGCUCUGCUUUCAGGAAUCCCCCAAAGGUGUCCCAGCUGACUGUGGCUGGCUCCCCCCAGCCCAGGGCUCGGGUGGCGCUCACCCUGCCUCCGGGUCCCUAGUCCUCUGUCCUUGAGACCUCCAGGCCUUCGGGGCGAUGGAGCCCACAUCACUCGAUGCCAGGGAAGGCCGGGUCUCGGGCCCUUUCAGCUGUCACUCUGUUGGGUCCGGCAGCUUGUGCCAGGGUCUGCCACUGCCCUAGUCGUUCCUGAAGCUCUAACCCUGCUGCCACCCUUCCCUGUGCUUCCCUGGAGGGCCCUCGUGACCAUGGGAGCCUCGGGCGGCCGCCUGGCUUUCCUUCCUCCCACCCCAUGGCUCGGCAGUCUGCCUUUAUCUCCCCUGUCUCAUUUUAAAGGUCAGGCUGAGCAGGAGAUCACUGACGCCUGCCGCUCUCUGGUCCUUUGCCACCAUGGCAACGAUCCCCUAAUAGGGCGGGCAGGAAGGCCCAGAAGAAGUGGCAGAAGUUGGCAGACCACCUGGCCAUGGCCCCCAGAUCCUGCUACAGAGGCCAGGGGGGAGCAGUCCUCCCCAGCCCAUGGCCGGAAGAGGGCCACGUGACCUGGCAACAACAUAUCCAGGGGCUCCGGGGCCAGUCCCACUGAAAAAGGGAAGUUCUCACCUCCAAAGUCUCACCAUCUGGACACCAUCUGGGUGAUCGGCACCGAAAAGGACAUGACUGUGGCCAUUCUGCCCGAGCCCAUUCCUGGGCUGUCCCACAAGCCCCGUGUCCUCAGCUUCCCAGAUGGGCUUUGCCGGUGCUUAUCCCGGGCACCACGGGUUUGCUUGGAGACGUUUGUGCCAGGCUGUGGGCUGGCUCCCUGAGGGCAGAGACCGGCUGCCAGCUGUGCCCGGUUGCCAGCUGUGCCCGAUAUGCCGCUGCAUAUGAUAUGCCGCUGCCGAGCACCCUGAGACUGAUCCCCUGGGAUAAGGGGGAACCUCCCUUUUUUCCUCAAUGAUUAACUGGCCCCAUCUGGUGAAUCUGAAUUGGCUGCCAUUGUUCAAAGCCCCUUAUCUCCUCCCUCCCAGGGACCCAUUCUAAAGCUCCCCUGUGCUCCCGGUGACAAGCUGGCCUUGCUUCCCUCCUUCUGACUCAUUGAGACUGGACUGGAUGAUGCAGCCUCCAGGGCACCCUUCUAGAACUGCCUGUUCUCUCGCUCCCCGGUUACUGACGGGGAGCUGGAGUCCUCCUGGCUCCCUUCAGCCACCAUCACUUCCUAUGGACUCACUCAGCCCGGAUCUACCCUGUAGUCACAAUUCUAGGGCUACUGUCAGCCAGCCUCCGGGACCCCAGAGGUCUGCCUUUCUAAAACAUUCAGUGAUGGUCCCUUCUCCUCCUCAGCCCCCCUUUCUCAGGAUCUCCACCUCAGCCCCCCACAGAGAGGGUCAGAUCCUGGCUCUCGCCUUCACCCACAAGGGUUCCCCUCUGAACUCUGGAAUCCCCUUCCCCGAGUCAUUUUACCCCCACUCCCUUGUUUAUUAUUCUCACCAUGUGCCUCCUGGCCCAGUUCUUUCCCACAGCCUUCCCUCUGCAGUGUCUGCUCCUGGCUUCCCCCAUCUUGACCCCUUGGAAGACUCUGUGCGCUGUCUUCCCUCCGGUCCCUGGGCCCCUUAUCCCGUCAGGAGUCUGCCUGCCAAGCCUCAGCCUUGGCUCACCACCCACCCCUCGGUCACUCCUUCACCUGCUGCUAAAUGUGCUGACUGGCGACCCUACGAGGCUGCCCUGAGCGCUGGGACACAAAGAAAGGGAGAGCCCGGCUCUGCCCCGUCUAAUGGAGGCGGUGGCAAACAUACACGGGAUCAGCUGGAGGGAAUGGCAGGCGAGCAGAAGGGGAAGAGGAGCAGGGAGAGGAGUCCAGGAUGGGGGACGUGCCCAAGCUCAGAGAUGGGGUGCCAUGCCCUGGGAUUGACAAGGGACCAGUAUCACUGGACUACUCGUGUAAGAGAAAUGAAAUGGAGGGACGGGGCCAGGCUGGAAAGGCUUUGGGUGCCAGAGUAAGACUUAGCUGGAUCCUGGAGGCGAUAGGAGCCACUGGAGUUUAUUGAGUGGGGCAUGGGAUGGUCAGACUUGUUCACUUGGGCAGCUGAACGGAGGGUGGACUGGUAUAGAGAAAGACUGGAGAUAAGCAGACUCACCAGCAGCUUUGCAUGUAUCUCUGCAGGCAUUUUGAGAAUCAAAAGCUAUUAUUUAAAGUAAACAAGUAAAAUAAUUCCUUAAAAAAUACAAUUGAUAUAAUGCAAAAAAAAAAAAAAAUCCACGAAAGAAAACAUCUGGAAAGGUAAGAUUAAUCAAAUGGAAAAAGAGAUAUAAAAACUAGAACUGGGCAAAUGGAAGCUAACGACUGAGACAACAAGAAUCGGUCAAAUAAACAAAAAUGAAUGAAAAAAGGAAGAAAAUGCAAAAUACCUCAUUGGAAAAAUAUAUCCAGGAGAGAACCAUUUAAAAAUUAUUGGCCUACCUGAAGGCCAUGACCCCCCCCCCAAAAAAAAAAGUCUUCCCCUCUCAGAAUUAGAUAAAUCUAACCACAAAAUAAACAAACUAGGGGGAUUAGUUUCUAUGAUGAAUUCUUUUGGCCAAUUUGUUUUUUAGGAUUAGAUUAUUUAGUUUCCAAUUGGUUUUUAGUCUAUCUUUCCAUGGUCCUUUAUUGAACACAAUUUUUAUUGCAUCAUGAUCUAAAAAGAAAGCGUUUACUAUUUUUGCCUUUCUGCAUUUGAUUGUGAGGUUUUUAUGCCCUAAUACAUGAUCAUUUUUUUACAUAGAUGCCAUGUACUGCUGAGAAAAAGGUAUAUUUCUGUCCCUAUUCAAUUUUCUCCAGAGAUCUACCAUAUCUAAUUGUUCUAAAAUUUUACUUUAUCUCAUUAACUUCUUUUUCAUUUAUUUUUGGUUAGAUUUAUCUAGUUCUGAGAAGGAAAAACUGAGCUCUCUCCUAGGAUAGUUUUAUUAUCUAUUUCCCUCUAACUCAUUCAACUUCAAAAAUUUAGAUUAUAUAUAGAAUCUAUCUAUAUAUCUCUAUAUAGAUUCUAUAUUUGCACAUAUAUGUUUAGUUUUAAUAUGAGUUCAUUGCCUAUAGUACCUUUCACGAAGAGAGCUUUUUUCUUUAUGUCUUUUAACUAGUUAAAUUUUUGCUUUUGCAAAAUGUGACAUCAUGAUUGCUAGCCUGCUUUCUUUGCUUCAGCCCCAGGGGCAGGGCUCUGCUGCUGGGUUGCUGUGAACACAGGGACUCUGCUAGUAGGCCCCACAGUGGGGUCUCACUGAUGGUCAGCCCCAGGGUGAUGCUACAUUAUAGAUCAGAAAUGGGAUCAAAGCCUGGCUGGUGGUUUGUGCUUGACCUUGUUGAUCUGCUCCCUUACCUAAGGGAUGCCAGUUUGCAGGUCUCACUGGUGAAUUGCUCCAGGAUUAGAGCCUUGCUGCAGACCCCCUAAUGUGAGGCUGGCUGCUGGCCAGUUGCUAAUGCUGCUGUUGUUCUGGAACCUCCAUCCCCUCCUACCCCUAUAGAGGGCCAGGAGCUAAGAAUCCGUUUCAGGUUUUGAAACUUGGCUCAUCUAUUUCCCUCUUGAUUUGAAAUAGCAGAGACAGACAAAUAUAUUGAUAAAGAUCCUGGUGACUGAAGAAAAAUGCAAUGAGCUAUAUAAUAGAUUAAAGACAUACCUUUGAGCUUAGGACAGGAAAAGCAGCUCACAAUGGAGACCUAAGGCAUUUGGGAGAAAUGUACUUGAGGACAUUGCUCUGAUGAUUUUGCUCUGAUGUGCAUCACAGCUAUUUGCAAUUUUGAAGUGGCCAAAAUCUGGGCUUAAUCAUUUGCAUCUCAGUAGACUGAGCUUGUUAGAAAGAAUAUGGGAUAUAGAAGAGUGUAUUUUGUAUCGACUCUAUAAGCAUUGGAAUCAUAUACAUAUAUAUAUAUAUAUAUAUAUAUAUAUAUAUGUCUCUCUGACCAAUAAAUUUGAAGAUUUCAUAACAAAGUCUUUCGCCUUGGCCCCCUGAUUUCCACAUCUUUAUCACUAUUGGAGCAGAACUUCAACACUACCCCAAUAGGAGAUACCUUUCCUGUAGGGCAUAUUAUAAGCUGCUGCCCUGCUCCUGGAUCCAAUUCCUUUUUUUCCCCAAAAAACAUAUGUGUGGACAAUUUUUCAACAUUAGCAUAAAAUUUUGUGUUCCAAUUUCUUCCCUUCCCCCAUGCCGUCCCCCAGAUGGCAAGUAGUCCAAUAUAUGUUAAGCAUGGUAGGAGUAUAUGUUAAAUCCAAUAUAUGCAUCAUAUUUACACAAUUAUUGUGUUGCACAAGAAAAAUCAAAUCAAACCAGUAAAGAGAGAGAAGCAAAAUAAAAGGCAAGCAAACAACAAAAAGAGAAUGCUACAUCGUGAACCACCCUCAGUUCCCACAGUUCUCUCUCUGGGUGUAGAUGGGUCUCUAUCACAAGAUCAUUGGAACUGACCUGAAUCACCUCAUUGUUGGAAAGAGCCACGUCGUCAGAAUUGAUCAUCAUAUAGUCUUGUUGUUGCUGUGUACAAUGGCCUCUCUGAAAUCCUCCUGGUGGUCUUUUCUUACAGAACAAUAAUAUUCCAUAGCAUUCAUAUACCAUCACUUAUUCAGCCAUUCCCUAAUUGAUGGACAUCCAUUAAGUUUCCUGGAUCAAUUCUAAGGCAGGUUUCUAGUUUGAAGGGGAAUUUGGGUUCCUUCCAGUGGGUUCCUUAUUCACUCUACUAUUUUAGCACUGGAAGUUUAGGUCUUUUUUUUUAAUAUUAAGAUUCAAGCCAGUUUUUACACCCACCAAGAUUCUUCUAAAUUUCUGUUCACUUUCUGCCAUCAGUGUGGUACCAUCUGCAUAUCUGAGAUUGUUGAUAUUUCCUCUGGCAAACUUAAAUUCCAGCUUUUGAUUCUUCCAGUCUAGAAUUUCACACGAAGAACUCUUCAGACAAGUAAAAUAAAUAAGGGAACGGUGGACAGCCUUGUCAUACUCUGGUUUUUCCAAUUUUUGCCCAAUCAGUUGCGUGUUCAGUCCUAACUGUUACUUCUUGACCACAUACAAGUUCCUCAGGAGACAAGUGAGAUGAGCCGGUGCUCCCAUCUCUUUGGGGACUUGAUCACAUGUUCUGUGAGACCCUCAAUCACAAGCUUUAGUCAGUGAACCAGAAGGAGAUGCUUUUCUGAAGCUCCCUUGCUUUCUCCAAUGAGUUCUAAUGCCUCGGCUUUUUCAUUCUCGGUUAUAUAUUGCUGAAGGCCACCUUGCAGAACCCUAAGCAUGGCCUCGCUGCCAUUUGAAAUGAGUGCGAUGAGCAUGGCAAGCUGAGCGUCGUCCUUCUUUGGGACUGGGACGUGUAUCGAGCUUUUCUGGUCCAACGGCCACUGCUGAGUUUUCCAAAUUUGUUGGCAUUUGAAUAGAUUUCAGCAUUUUAAUAGCAUCAUCUUUUGGGUUCUUAAAUAGCUGAGUUGGAAUCCUAGCUCCUGCAGUAGCCUAAUGGUAUAGAAAUACUUCUGUGCCCUCAUCUGUGACAUGGAAAGUUGGAGGAAGACAGGGUCCGGGGGCACAGUAAUGACUUCGGUUUUGGACAGAAUUCAAGAUGUCUACUGACUAUGCAGCUCAAGGUGUCUCAAAGUCAGCUGAGGUGCAAGACUCGAAGUCAGGAGAGAAGUGGGAAAUGCCAGUGAAAACCGGCUGUGUCGGCUCUCACAGAGACCAGGAAAGCAAGGUAGAAAACAUCGAUGUAUGUGGUCAAGACGAGUUUAAUAUGUCUAUGCUCUCCCUAUUUAAGCCCUUCCUAUUUAAGCCACAAAAUUACUAAGGAAACACAAAGCAGACAAACCAAUCAGUGCAUGAAGGGGCAAUGCUUUGUGUACUAGUAGAAACAGGGCUUUCUCUUUAGAAACAGCUAGAUCCCCCCUGGCCAUCCUGAUUUAUGACACACCCCCAACACACCCGUUCCUAAUUCUUCUGUCUUUGCCCAUCUGCUGGCUGACAUUUAGGGAGGUUCAAGAGAGGUUCAGAGCCAGGGCAAGACAACCUGAAUCCUGCAUCUAAGCAGGUCUUACUAGGUAAGUACUGUUGCCUGGGCACAGAGAAGUUAGGGCAAGAUGGAUUUGAGAAUUAUUAGCGAAAAGAUGAUCAUUAAAUCCUUGGGAGCUGAUGAGAUCAUCAAGUGAGGUUGUAUAGAGGGAGAAAAGAUGAGCCAGGACAGAGCUCUGGGGGACACCUGCAGCUAGAGGUGUUAUCAGGAGGAAGAUCCAGCAAAGGAGACUGAGAAGGAGCAGUCAGAGAGGGAGGAGGAGGCUCCCCCAAACCCAGAGAGAUGAGGGAACCAAGGAGCAGAGAGACCAAGAGUGUCACAUGCAGAGACACAGGAAAGGAGAAGGACUGAGCAAAGGUCGUUAGAUUUGGCAAGAGAGUAAUCACCACUAACUCAACGGAUAUUUUAUUGAGCAACUAGGUUAGCUGACUUUUCCACUUCUGCCCCGAUCCCUUUGCCUCUUGCUCCGAGAGGUGACCUCUCAGGCAUUUGCUGUUUCUCCUCUUCAAAUCACUUUGUGGCCACUGGUUAAUUCCAUGCUGCCUACAAAUAAGCCAGUUUUCCCAUUUCUAAGAUCUGUCUCUCUCUCUGUCUCUCACUGUCUUUGUCUCUCUUUCUCUCUGUUUCUGUCUCUCUCACGCUCCCCCCCCCCAAACAAAAAACCUUGAGUGUACCCUAUCUUUAUCCAUUCUUUAUCCAUUCACAACCUCCCCGUUCGUCCUGCUUGCCACCUGACUUUUGGCGUUGACCUAAAACACGCUCGCUAAGGUCUUCAGCAAUCUGCUAAAGCCUCUUCCAUUCCAUAUUCUAUUAAAUUGCUCUGCUGUUUUUGAUAUCAAUGGGCAUUCACCUUUCGGGAUAAUCUGC